rnacentral:ncRNA from 1 species
CUUCUCGUUUAACACGAGAGAGUUCACAACGGUCACGAGACCUAAGUGUGAGCUAACAUGUUGGCUCCCUCCCUAGUUUUCUUUUUAGAAAUUUCUAGAGAUUAAAACUAGGGAGGGAUGAAGGUAUAGUCUGAUACCCCGAGUGAUCGGGGAAAACGAUAUGACGGUCCAUACACCUACGGGUGGCCGCAGUCGAGAAUCUUCCGCAAUGGGCGAAAGCCUGACGGAGCGACGCCGCGUGCAGGAUGACGUACUUCGGUAUGUAAACUGCUUUUGUAGACUAGAAAAUUAUUGAUCAGUCUAAGAAUAAGAGGUUGCUAAACUCGUGCCAGCAGCAGCGGUAAUACGAGUGCCUCAAGCGUUAUCCGGAAUCAUUGGGCGUAAAGGGUGUGUAGGCGGUCGUGUUAGUCUUUCGUGAAAUUCUUCGGCUUAACCGGGGGUCCGCGGGGGAAACGGCACGACUAGAGGAUGCGAGAGGUGAAUGGAACUCAUAGUGUAGGGGUGAAAUCCGUUGAUAUUAUGGGGAACACCAAAAGCGAAGGCAAUUCACUGGCGCACUCCUGACGCUGAAACACGAAAGCGUGGGUAGCGAAUGGGAUCGAUGAUAGUUUUUAAGUUAUAAGUUUAAAAGUUUAUAAGUUAAAAAGUAUUGCACCGCGAGGGGUCGCGGUAGGUUCCCCAAGUUGUUUUUAGACAGCUUGGAAAAAAUUUGGCUGUAUGCUGGAAAAACCGAGCAUCCAACAAUACCGAAAGGUAAAAAUUUGUUGGUGCGGUCAAUCAGCAGGGAAGUUCCACAAGGAACCCCUCAGAGACUAUACGCCAAACCCUAAAUCACUUUGCCUAUUGGCAAAUGAUCGGGAAGAUAUAGUCCGAACUGCAUGGCGACAUGCAGAGACAGGCAGAAAUGUCCUGUCCAACUUGUACACUUUGUUGAGAGAAAAUAAAAAGAAAGGAGAAGAAAUGAACACGCCGGUAGUUAAAAUCUUAGAGUAUGGCGGUCGCUAUUUGGGCAAGUAUCCUUAUGGAGGUUUCAGCAUCACAGUUUCCGCCGGAGAUCAAUUGCUGGAAGUUAUAGGUUCACCAGAAUACGGUCCAACCAAUAGCGAUACAGUCCUAAAGAGGGCUCGGUGUAUUUCUAUUGCAAAACGAAAGGCCCGAAUGAUUGCUAAAGCUCUUCACCUAGAGGUUCGGGAGGAUUUUUUCAAAUAAAACUUCCCGCGACCGAGCCAUCACUAUUGGUGGUGGCUCUCUCAACAAAGUGUACAAGUUAUGAAGUGAAUGAGAUGGAUACGAUUUUCGCGCAUUCCGCGUGGGUUCCGCAUCUGUCCGCAUGGCUUCACCGUAACAAAAUUGUAGAUACCCCAGUAGUCCACGCCCUAAACGAUCUUCUCUAGCUUUUCGGAGUAUCGACCCUCUGAGAGGCGAAGCUAACGCGUUAAGAGAAGCGCCUGGGUAGUACGACCGCAAGGUUAAAACUCAAAGGAAUAGACGGGGACUUGCACAAGCAGUGGAUCGUGUGGUUUAAUUCGUCGGUAAACGAAGAACCUUACCAGGGUUAGAAAUCUAGUCGAAUCUAUUUGGAAACAGAUAGAGUCCGCAAGGACGGCUAGACAGGUGCUGCAUGGCCGGACCUAGUGUUCGACGGCCACCUCGAAAGUAAUUUUGAGGAACAAACUCCAGCUCAUAACGGUAGAGCCCAUGUAUAGUCGUGGUAAAAUAAUACUAUGAUUAAAACGGGUGUUAUCGUAGGAAGUUCGGAUACUGAUUUUUGUGAAAUAUUUAAUGAUGACUUUGCUUUUUACAUUCUUGGAUUGUGGUGUGCGGAUGGGUACCACAGGACAAGUAGUAUUGGAUUAAGCAACGUUGACCACACUCUUAUUUUGCAGUUUAGAGAUUUUUUGGCAAAAAUUUUUCCAAUCGAACGAUUGCGGUUGCGAAUCUAUAUUCCUCUAGAAAAGAAAGAAUAUGAUUUAACAUCGCUUAUAUCGUCAGGAAUAAAUAAAAUCUCCUAUUGCAAAAUUAAGAAAGCGAAAGCACCGACAGUACAUAUCUAUGUAAAUAGUCGGCCGCUUUUAAGGGCUUUUAGAAAAGCUCGAGAUGGCAUUCAGGGCGUAGAUGAUGUGAAUUUCAUCACCGCGUAUUUUUCUGGUCGUUUUGACGGAGAUGGCUCUGUUUCAAGCGAUGGUAGAAAAGAUUGUCGUAUUGCGUACAGCACAAGCGCUGAAGCUACAACCGAUUGCAACCUACUUCAUUAUUUGGGAAUUAAAAGUGCAAAAGUGUAUCACUAUGCGGCGGCUCGCACAUAUUGCAUCUAUAUUUCCCGAUAUGAAUCUGAAAGAUUCUUAAAAAAUAUUCGAGAAUAUUCUUGAUCACAAAAAUCAGUAUCCGUACCCUCUAGAGACUUAGCUUAUCAACAGAGAUAAGCUAGAUGGUGGAUUUUUAUUCAUCAUAAGACGCUGGCUCCUAAACCCCUUUGUGGGUCGGAUGAAGGUAUAGUCCGUGCCGUUAGUAAUAACGGAAUUGCACAGUCGUCAGUUCGUGGUAUGAAUUGUUCCCUUAAGUGGGGUAACGAACGCAACCCUCGUUGCCUGUUAUAUUUGUCAGGCGAGACUGCCCAGCCCCAAGCGCACGAAGUGUGCGCAGUAUGUGUAUCAAGUAUAAGUAUGAGUAUGGACAUCAGAAAAGAUGCCUGCGCGGAAGCGCGAAAAUACUAAUACUUAUACUAAAUACUUAUACUGCAAUUCGCUUCGCGAAUUGUGGGCUGGGAGGAAGGCGAGGAUGACGCCAGGUCAGCAUGGCCCUCUGAUACCCUGGGCUACACACGCGAUACAAUCGCCGCUACAACGCGUUGCGACGGGGAAACCCCGAGCUAAUCGUAAGAAAGGCGGCGCCAGUUCGGAUAGGAGUCUGCAACUCGACUCCUUGAAGCCGGAAUUGCUAGUAAUCGCAGGUCAGCACACUGCGGUGAAUACGUUCUCAAGUCUUGUACUCACCGCCCGUCAACUCAAGGGAGUUGGGAGUACCCGAAGUCCCCGCCUAAGUUUUUGUCUGAACAAAAAUUUAGGCGGGGCCUAAGGUAAGCUCAAUGACAGGGAGUAAGUCGUCAUUACACAAUGCUAAUUGCGACAUGUCAA